AUUGAACGCUGGCGGCAUGCCUUACACAUGCAAGUCGAACGGUAACAGGUUAAGCUGACGAGUGGCGAACGGGUGAGUAAUAUAUCGGAACGUGCCCAGUCGUGGGGGAUAACUGCUCGAAAGAGCAGCUAAUACCGCAUACGACCUGAGGGUGAAAGCGGGGGAUCGCAAGACCUCGUGCGAUUGGAGCGGCCGAUAUCAGAUUAGGUAGUUGGUGGGGUAAAAGCCUACCAAGCCAACGAUCUGUAGCUGGUCUGAGAGGACGACCAGCCACACUGGGACUGAGACACGGCCCAGACUCCUACGGGAGGCAGCAGUGGGUAAUUUUGGACAAUGGAAGCAAGUCUGAUCCAGCCAUGCCGCGUGCGGGAAGAAGGCCUUCGGGUUGUCAACCGCUUUUGUCAGGGAAGAAAAGGUUCUGGAUAAUACCUGGGACUCAUGACGGUACCUGAAGAAUAAGCACCGGCUAACUACGUGCCAGCCGCCGCGGUAA
rnacentral:rRNA from 1 species